rnacentral:lncRNA from 1 species
UUCAAAGAUUUGAAGGUUUUGGAUCUCAGUUUAUGCACUAUCAAAUGCUCCAACAGCUACCUGCUGUGCAGAUAUAUUUACUGUUGAUUGAAGUGUGAGCCAUAUGCUUCAGAUACAACGGUGGGAGACAGUCAAGGUUGACUGCCACUCUCCUUGGAAGCUGGAGAGGCAGCUGCAUUCUUCCUGGAAUACGAGUCAACCUUCUCCAGCAGAGUCUGGACAAAGGCAGGAGCAGAAGGAAGACAGUCUCUACAGGCAAUAUUUAGCUUAAAAUAUUUAGUUUAGAAAAAAAUCCCUUUUAAAGAGCACUGUGCCAGGCAUUACAGCAACUAAUUCUUGCUAUCAUCAUCCAAAAGGAGUUACAAUAGGGCAAAUAGAAAAACCUACACAUACCCUGAUAAGGAUUCAAAAAUAAAAGUAAAAUGGAAAAAUCCAUGUGUGUUGUGUGAGUUAUAAAUCAUGUUUUCCUGGGCAAGGAAAACUUAAAGACAGACUAUUCUGUCUGGUUGAAUUGGAUUCACUUUUUUCCUUUUGUUUAUUUUUAAUUUUUGCUUUUCAUUUUUAUAUGACAUUACCUUGUGUUCCUCCCUUUUCCCCUCAUGAAGAGAGUUUUUUCUUGGAAGAAUAAAAAACAAAAGAAAAAAACAAGUAUGGUUGUCUUUUAGAUGUCCUUUUUAGAUGUCAGCAAAUUCUUAGGCUGAGGGGCAAGGCCAGAGAUUAUUAGAUAUAAGGAUGAAGUCCUAUCAAAAAUGAUUGAGUUAUUCCACACCUUUUACCUUCAGGGUACAAACUGUCCCAUAUUUUUUUGUCCAACACUCAUUUGUACUGAAUCACAGAAUAUUAGUCUUAAAAAUAUGGAGAUCCUUGAACCCCAGAACUGUUUGGUGGAUUUUGGGGCAAAUGUCCACUGCUUGGUCAUGGACUACUUAUGCACAAAUGAAUAUUCAGGAAACAUACUGGAUAGUCACUAUAAGUUAAGGUAACAUCUCUCCCUGAAGGGGGCCUAGUCUGAACCAAUAAAGAGAUAUGCAAAGAAGAAACUAUACAAACAUUUCCCCUUCUCUUUUUCUUGCCUGACAUUUA